UAGGGUUUUCUUUAUCUGCCUUCCUCUGGUCUCUAUAUAAGUAAGUCUAGCAGAAGCAGAGCCCGGGGUGAGAAAGAUAGAAGGUAGGGAUGUACGGUGAGAGUAAUCUUCUAUUAAUUUUGGGUGUCUGCAUUUGCAGUAAUAGAAUUUGUUAUUCAGAAGCCUAAUAUUGCAAUUCUUUGAUCAGCUCCAUGGAAGAUGGUGAUCAAUGGAUCUAUCCUUAGGCAACAGUGACAGGUAUUCUCUGUAUACAUAAAAUUUUGUUUUUGUGUAUACUCUGCCUUUAGCUCCGAUUUUCCUCUUCUUUUUCUGGGAAUUUUCGGUGACAAGGUAGAUACAUUCUUUAAUUAGUUUUUUAAAAAAAUUAUUUUAUAUACAAUGAAAUCCAUGAGGAUGAUGAUGAUUAUGGAUGAUGCAAAAAAUCAGACGGAUUCCCACUGAUUUAUCUAAAUAUGAUUUUACUUAACAGUUAUUUCUGACUCUUCAUCAUCAUCCUCUUCAUUUAUGUAGUUAUUUAUUAUUUAUUUUGAUCUAAUUUGAUUUGUUUGGGCCGGUGAUGUGAGAAAAUAUUUGCUACUCUUGAUGGGAUUCAAAUCGAAUCCGCAGCUGAUGAUUCCUUUCCACCAAGAUCUCUGAGGCCUUUGUUUUUUUUAAUUUCUGAUUUUUGGGGAUUAAUCAGUAAAUUUGUCUGAUUUAAACUCAUUAUUAAUUUCUAGUUUUUAAAUUUCUUUGUCGAAAUUUCUGCUAUUGUAGCAGAAGGAUUCUGGAGGAUCAGAUUUCUUCUUGGUUUCAUUCUCAAUGGAUUCAACCAUCUUCUAUUAUCUAUGGUUGUUGCUGCUAUAAUCUUUGGGUUCAUCCAUGACUUGAAAAUUAAUAGAGAGAAAACAAACGAUUUUAUUUUUGCCAAAGAUCUGAGAUUUAUUAAGGAGGCUUAAUCAAAGCCCAGAGAUUACAACUCUAUUGAAACUAACCAUGACAAUUUCUAAUACACAGAAAUAGACAGUGUUUAAAUCAUAUUUAAGUGAAAGAUAAUUGAUAUUAAAAAAUUAAAUAUUUUAUGCAUUUUAGUGAUUUUAUUUAAAUUUUUAAUUUUGACAAUUUAAUUUAAAAUUAAAAUAUUCGUAUAAAUUUUAUUCAAAUUUAAAAUUAUAUUAAGGUAGGAUAUGAUUUUACAUAUACAGCAUAACACAUUAUCUUUUUAUUAUUAAAUGAGAGAUAAAUUUUAUCAACACAUAAAUAUUAAUUAAAAUUAUUUUAAUUAAUUAAAUUAAUUUGUUUUUCUAAUUCUUCACCCUCUUUGUUAAACUCUUGGUUUCCUUGUGUUAUAAGGGACGACGAAUUUUGAGAGAAAAUGAAUUAAAUUUUUUCUUAAUUUUUGUGUUCGGUAAAAUUAAAAAUGUAAGAGUUAACUUUUUUUAAUUUUUGUGGAAAUUCAUUUUAAAUUAAAAGUAAAUAUAAUCAAAAUUAUUAAAAUUUUAUAAAACAUAAUUUCACUUAAAAUUAUUUAUAUCAAAAUUACUUAGCUUUUGAGAAUUUCAAUUUUUUUAAUCCUUAUUUUAUUUAUUUAUUUUAACUUUGAAUUUGUUUAUUUUUUUCUUAAUUAAUAACUCAUUCUUUUGAAAUUUAAUUUGUUUAAGUAUUAAUAUUUGAUGUAUUUAUAAUUGAUAUUAAGAAAUUUAUUAUAUUAUUUUGUUAAUUUUUCUAAAAAUAGUCUCCAUCUUAAUUUAUAUUUUUAAUGGUAUUUUUUUAUAAAUAUUAUGCAAAUAUUAAUAAUGGAGUUCAAAAAGUAUUUUUAAUGUGAUAAAAAUUAUUUUUAUUUAUAAAAUAAAUAUUUAUACUUAAGUUUAGAAAUAAUAAGGAUAAUAAAUAAAAUAAAUCAAUUUUGAAUUUAUUACUAGUUUAUUUAUAAAUAAAUAAAUUUAAUUAAAUAAUAUUAUUUUAAGAUUUAUUCUAAAUAAAAGAAUUUAUUUAUGAAUUAAAAUAAAUUUAAUUAAAUUCUUUUAUUGUAAGAAAAGCAUUCCAAACGAGAAAUACAUUUUUAUAAAUUGUAAUUUCUCAAAUAUAAAGAUCAUUAUUUAAAUGAACUGAAUUAAAAAUAGAAAUGAUUCAGUUUCGCUUAUUUUUUAUCAAUUAAUCAUCGGUGAUAAUAUUAAGAAGGAAAGAAAUGAAAAAUUAUGCUGUAAAUGGAAAAAAAUCAAACGAGAGAAAGUGAGGAAUGAGAGAUUAAAAAUAUUUUUUAUUAAUUAAAAUAAUUUUAAUUUAUUAGAAUUGCUAUGCAUUUGGAUCUGCUAGUGCAUAAACUCUUUUCAAGAAAUUGUCUUUAUACCAUCUAAAAUUUUCUAGUUUUCUACAUUUAAGAUUUUGUAAUAUUUCGCUAUUUUUUCUGUGUAUAAAUCUAAGUCUCCUAUAAAAUGUGAUAUAAUAUUGUAAACUAGGUAUGUUAAGGUAAAAGAUUGUGGUUGUCCUGUUGUGGGGUCAAUAACGGGUUCUCCUGUAAUACUAUCAAUUCUUCUUGCUGUUAGUAUAUUGGUUUUUAUUUCAUUACUUAGUAAUUUGUCCCACCAAGUUCUUAGUUCUCCGGUGAACCCUAAUAUUAUAUUUUCAGCUGCAUUUUUUUCCAGUAAUACCAACCCUUUGUUUAUAAAUAUUUCCUAUGACCAUUUCUUUGGUUAUUUGUAUUAUUUCUAUUUCUGCUAAAUCAUCUAUAUUCCAUUCAUAAAUAUUUUUUGCAUUAUAUUGUUUUUGUUUUCAAUCUAAGAUUUUUAAAUCAUCUGGUCUAUUAUUUUGCCUUUCUAUAGUAUUUAUGGGAACAUUAAUUUCUUGGUCAAAGUCUGAUAUGUCUAAGGGAUUGUAUAUGGUUUUAUCAUCUGAAGAAGAAAUUUCAUUAUAUUCAGUCAGAAUGGUUAUUUUUCCCUUAUCUUUAUUAGUUCUUGGUUCUUCUAUCUUUAUUCCUCCUGAAGUGCUAGUUUUUGGAGACUUACUCUGUUCAUUUAUUAUUUGUUGUAAUAAUUUUGACAUAUCAUUUAAUUCUGUCUUCGGAUUUAUUGUUACUGUAUCAAUUGGAUUUUGUGAGGGUGGUAUCAUUUUUGUGAAAAGUUUGUUACUUUGUUUUUUAGCUGGAUCUAUGUCAUAUGGUUUUGGAUUACUAUAGCGUUGGGAUAAAUAUGUUGUAUUUGGUUUAAUAUUAAUGGGUGAUGGUGUUGUAGGUGUUUCUAUAUGUUCUAUAUCUGUUAUGACAUUAUGGUUUCUAUCUAUUUUUUCUUCCAUUCUAUCUAAUUGAGUUCCUAUGAUAUGUAAUGCUACAUUUGUCCAAUUAUUUUGUAAAUUAACGUCUCUUAUGUUAUUACUCUGUAUAUUUUUAGUAUUUACAAUUGGUUGCAUUCCAUAAGCAAUUUGGUUCUUUUUGAAGAAUACCCUAUCUAUGGGUGGUUUUUCACAUUCAUGACAUAUCUCACUUGGUUCACCAUUAUCAUUAAUUUUGUGCCAUUUAUGUAUUUUCUUUUCUAAUAUAUUUAAUUUAUUUUCAUGAAAAUAUUUUAAGUAUGUAAAAAAUGGAAUAGUUUUCUCUACUUGUUCACAAAAUGUAAAAAAAUGUUUUUUUAUUAAACUUUGUUCUUUUCUGGAAUAGGUUUGUAAAAAUAUGUCUCGUUUCCCCCGGUUUUUAUCUGACAUAUAGUCAGCUUGAAUUUGGUCUCUGUCGAGUAUGAAAGUCUGGGUUAAGGUAUUAAUAGAACAAUCACUAUCUUCAUAUGGUUGACUAAAUUGACCUUAUCUAAAGACGCCUUCUUGUAUUUUGAUACCUUUGGUAGGUUGUGGAAUGGUUUGAUGAUUAAAUGUUUCUUCUACAGGUUUAGUUCCAGAGGUUUCUCCAACAAAAG
rnacentral:lncRNA from 1 species